GGAUGUGAGGAUAAUGUGGUUGUGGCAUCUGUCACUCCACUGGUCACCAGGGCUGGAAUGGUUGAUACAGCCAGCAGCCAGCUAGGCAGGGGCCCCUUUCUUCCUCACCGCUCCGUGUGCAUCCCUCCCAAGGCCUGUCGCAGAAGACAACCUUCCCAGACAGAGGACACUCAGGUGGCUGAACCUGCAAACAAGCUCUCAAGAAACAGAAGAUCAUAUACAACAAGACGAUUAUAUACAACAAGACGAUCAUAUACAACAAGAUCCUAGUU
ensembl:misc_RNA 7SK 7SK RNA